rnacentral:rRNA from 1 species
GACGAACGCUGGCGGCGUGCUUAACACAUGCAAGUCGAGCGGUAAGGCCCUUUCGGGGGUACACGAGCGGCGAACGGGUGAGUAACACGUGGGUGACCUGCCCUCAGCUCUGGGAUAAGCCUGGGAAACCGGGUCUAAUACUGGAUAUGACUCCAUGACGCAUGUUGUGGGGUGGAAAGCCUUGUGCGGCUGAGGAUGGGCCCGCGGCCUAUCAGCUUGUUGGUGGGGUGAUGGCCUACCGAAGGCGACGACGGGUAGCCGGCCUGAGAGGGCGACCGGCCACACUGGGACUGAGACACGGCCCAGGACUCCUACGGGAGGCAGCAGUGGGGAAUCUUGCGCAAUGGGCGAAAGCCUGACGCAGCGACGCCGCGUGAGGGAUGACGGCC